rnacentral:rRNA from 1 species
UACGUAGGGGUCUAGCGUUGUCCGGAAUCAUUGGGCGUAAAGGGUGCGUAGGUGGCGCCGUAAGUCGGGUGUGAAAUUUCGGAGCUUAACUCCGAAACUGCAUUCGAUACUGCGGUGCUUGAGGACUGGAGAGGAGACUGGAAUUCAUGGUGUAGCAGUGAAAUGCGUAGAGAUCAUGAGGAAGACCAGUGGCGAAGGCGGGUCUCUGGACAGUUCCUGACACUGAGGCACGAAGGCCAGGGGAGCAAACGGG